UUUGUUUAAGAUUUCCUUUUCUGGAUUGUCAUGUUUGAACUUUUUAUGAGUGUUGAACUUUCAUGAUUUGUGAAAUGCUUAUGCCUUAUCAUAUGAGCUUGAUAUUUUGCACAUGUUUUCUAGACACAUUGAAGUUUAUUGUGGCUUUGGUUUGAGUCAUUUAUCACUUGUCAUUUCUGUUUUAGGAUUGCCUUAAGUUGAUGUAUCAAUUUGUGCUUCCUUUGAGCUUGUUUAUGCUUACCUUGACUUGAUGAAUU
rnacentral:lncRNA from 1 species